rnacentral:rRNA from 1 species
UACGUAGGGUGCGAGCGUUGUCCGGAAUUAUUGGGCGUAAAGAGCUCGUAGGCGGUCUGUCGCGUCGAUCGUGAAAACUUGGGGCUUAACCCUGAGCUUGCGGUCGAUACGGGCAUGACUGGAGUUCGGCAGGGGAGACUGGAAUUCCUGGUGUAGCGGUGAAAUGCGCAGAUAUCAGGAGGAACACCGGUGGCGAAGGCGGGGCUCUGGGCCGAUACUGACGCUGAGGAGCGAAAGCGUGGGGAGCGAACAGG